GACAGAGGGUGCAAACGUUGUUCGGAAUUACUGGGCGUAAAGCGCGUGUAGGCGGCUAAGUAAGUCGGGCGUGAAAUCCCACGGCUCAACCGUGGAAGUGCACUUGAUACUGCGGCGCUGGAAGGUGGGAGAGGAUGGCGGAAUUCCCAGUGUAGAGGUGAAAUUCGUAGAUAUUGGGAAGAACACCGGUGGCGAAGGCGGCCAUCUGGCCCAUUUUUGACGCUGAGGCGCGAAAGCGUGGGGAGCAAACAGG
rnacentral:rRNA from 1 species